UCAAUUUAUGCCGAUAAGUAUUGAGAGUGCAUACCCGAUAUCUUCCCCCUUUAGCCAUUAGUAAAAAAAAUGUAAUAAGAUGGCAAGGAUUGAAAAAAAACUUGUUUAUUUACUGAAAAUAAGGCGUGAUUACUUAAGAAAGUACAAUAACUCAAAUAAUAGCAGUACAAUCGAUUAUUGAUACGUGAUAAUCGAUUAUUAGACGACAGAAACUGAUUUUUCUGAAGAAGAC
rnacentral:lncRNA from 1 species